CCGCGCGCCGGGGAGCGGCCGCGGAAAUGGGCGCGCGAUUGGCCAGGUCUGUUAAAGGGACCGCCGCCCACGGGGCUAGAGCGGGGCGGCGGCGGCGUUACUGUUAAGAAGUCCGGAUGGGAGGGAUGCAGAAACUGAAGCCCAGAGAGGACUGCUGACACGUCCAAGAUCACAAGACUAGCUAAAGAAAGAGCCAGCAUUCAUGACCCUAAUGACCAGGAUCCUCCUAACUGCUCUGCUCCAGUGCCUGGCAAAAUGCCCUUUGUUGCUGCCAGAAACAGGAUGGAUAACUUCAGAAGGCAAAAAGAAGCAAAUAUCACUAACCUUCACCAAAAGACCCUGUGAUAUAGACACCGCCUGGAGUUGAAGUUCCAUUGCUCUAACUUACAUCUGUUUGACUCUGAACAAGUCACAUAAUUAAAUCUCUUUGGCCCUUGAUUGCUCAUCUAUAAAGUGGGAUAAUUUUAUAAAAUGGGAUCAUUCACCAGGCCCUUGGGCUGGUAUGAAAAUCCAGUCAAAUAAAGAAUAUGUAUAUGAAUCUA